GCGUACGCGGGCAAACUGGGGCCAGUUUAGGGCCAGGUGAACGCGGAAGUACAGGACGUGAGGGUGUGCUGGCUGCUCCGACCGUGGUGGGGCGACUGGUGCGAGAUGGAAGAGGGCGCAGCUGCGGCUGAUGGUCGGGACGGUCCCCGGGAGCGGCUAGGCUUGGGUGAAGCUGGGAGGCAGCAGCAGAACCACGAAGUGCGGUCUCAAUCCCAGGCCGACCGGUUUCCAAAGCAUUCCUACUGGUUGGAUCUCUGGCUCUUCAUCCUCUUGGAUGUAGUGUUGUUUAUCUUCGUGUAUCUUUUACCAUGAAUGGUUUGCCUGAUGUCUAGAUUAAGAAGUUGGCUCCUGGAGUGGAUUCUGAAAAUGACUACAAACUUCUUGAACAUAGAAGACAGGAUUGUGCAACAGAAUUUUAAACUCUGAGGGACUUUCUUUCAUUUUACAUACUCUUGUUAUUCCUUUUGGGGACUAUAUUAAAUGGGUAAUCUCACCCAUUCAUAGCUUAAGUUCUUAAAACUACUCUUUGAUUCAUGUUUAAAAACUUUUCAGACAUCUGAUAGCUUUAUAGGGGCUGCAUAUUAAAGCAUUUAUACGUAAAGGUUUAAUGUAUUCAUUAACAAAUAUGGUAAUGUCUUGCCUUUAACAUUUUAAGGAUUAGCCAGGGUUUAGUAUGAUGCAAAAAUGUGGUGAAAUAUUAAGGUGACGUAUUUAAAAAUAAAUUACUCAAAAGCAAUGGAAGAAAAAGGAGUUAAGGGCUGUACAGAAAGUGCAGGCCCAAAAUGUAUUGGCUGUUAAGUACCAAUUUAAUUUUUAGAUUAAGUGGGCCUCUGUUAUGGUUGCCAGAUUGAUACAAUCUCAGAGAAAGUAUAAAUAUCCAACAUUGGAAAUCUAGUGUGCAUGUCCUCUUACCUGGAUGCUUCCCCUUGCUUCAUUUUAAGUUCCCGAACUUCCCUAAAAUAGGACUGUGUUUGAAACCUAUUUUUUAUUAUUGUGAUUGUAUUAAGAAUGCUUGUAGCUAAAAUAUGUUUUUGUUUUUAUAAUGUCUUUACCUUAAAUACUUCAGCAAAGUCA